UACGUAGGGUGCGAGCGUUGUCCGGAAUUAUUGGGCGUAAAGAGCGCGUAGGCGGUCCAUUAAGUGUGAAGCUAAAUCUCCCGGCUCAACCGGGAAACUAUUUCGCAUACUGAUGGGCUGGAGUGAUGCAGAGGUGGAUAGAAUUCCCGGUGUAGCGGUGAAAUGCGUUGAUAUCGGGAGGAAUACCUGUGGCGAAGGCGGUCCACUGGGCAGCAACUGACGCUGAGGCGCGAAAGCGUGGGUAGCAAACAGG
rnacentral:rRNA from 1 species